UAUAUCAAAUUAGAGGAAGACGCCAUCCUUUCUUCUUCUUGGAGUGGAUUAGUUCUUCUUGGUGUAUCUCCCCCAGAGACCCACAGCCAGAUAAGCCUCUGGUUUCACUAAUAAGCUCCCAGUGAACCGGUCUAUUCCUGUACCUGUCUACUCAGGCUCCUUCUGCAUAGCACAACCCGUAAGAAUGCCUCAGCACACAAAAAUGUACUUCAUCACUCCUCAGAGCAAGAUGGCUUCUUGGAUCAAUGUUUUAUUUCUUCCCUCCCUUGGCCGUGACACUAAACAGACUCAGAAUAAACUGUCUCCGACUGAACAAGCAAGAAAUUAUUCUCAGGCCAAGACACUUUGUUCUUCAAAGCUGUUUCACUCUUUUGCUUGUAAGAAUCAAAGACUCAGAGACCACAUUUAGGAGCAUAAAGAUGAGCGUUCAGGAAGAAACUGAGAGGAAUAUUCUUCCCUUGUUAAUCUGGGUCUGCCACACUAAUAGCUCUUCAUGGCACCAAGAAGGCAUCUUCUGCAUGGGGGCCCUAGUGCUGCAAAAAGAUCAACUCACUGGCAAUGAGAAACCAAACUGGUAUACUGCCCACCUCUGUGGACAACUGCCACUACACAUCUGAAUUCCAGGACUUUUGUCUCAGUUGCUGUACUUCCUGGUAGACACAGCUAUCAAGCAGACCUCGUGUAAGAACUUACUGGAGCUGUCGUGCUUUGCUGAAUUAUGAUCUCAUGCAGGAUAUCUAAUAAGAAAAGGAAGACAGCAGACAGCAAGGAGUCCACAGCCAUUCUGGAAAGUGCAGUUUGAAGACAACCGCAGAGAAUGUAUCUUCUUACUCAUGCACAUGCAUUGGAUGGAACAGUUCUAUUUCUCUGAAUGUGAGCCGGGAUGUUAACUCUCUGUUGUUAUAGCAACAGUAUCCACACACACUGCAGCAUCUUUAAAAAGAAGUCUGGUAGGGCAAUGACCUUAUAGGUGUUCGCAGACACUUGCCAGAAGACUUUGCAAAACUAUUUAGGGAAAUAACAUACAGUGAUGUUUAGAUUUUGUUAGUGAAAGUAAUAGUUUCAUGAAACCUUACAUUCCAAUGAGAAAAGAACAUAGUUUGGGUUGUGGGUCAAGUUUGGGAUAUCUGAUGAAUGAAGAGAAUGAUUUCUCAGUGAGACAUACUUCAUGAGAAGAAAAAAUAUGCCUUGUUUCCCAGAAUAUUUGCUAGGGAAAAGUGGAAGAAAAGGGGGAACUGCCCCCACAAAAUCUGCUGGCUUGCACUUGGUAUCCUAUUAUCAUGCCUAAGAGGUGACUUAUGCCCUUCACAGUUCCUGUUAGAAUUUUAUUUAUAAGUGACUUUUGGUGAUUCAGGAAAGAGAGAAAGGGAGAGGGAGGG
rnacentral:lncRNA from 1 species